AGUCAACUGAACAGAACUCAAAACAAUAACACACAAAAAAAAACAAAUAAUAAUCCAACCUUACCGAUCGAGAGUAGUAAACACUUUGCUAUUUCUUGUCGAAGUAAAAUAACAUGGAAGUGGUGUACUCUAUACUCUAAAAAUUCAUCUACUACUACCAAACCGAUACUGUGUUGUUGUCGUUUAUUGCUGCCGUUUUAUUGUUGUUGUUGUUAUUUUUGUUUGAUAUUUUGUACGAUUGGACAUGAUCGUAACGUGUAAAAAUCAUAUAAAAAAAAACAUUUGACAUAAUGUUUUAGUGUGUGUGUGUGGCAUUAAAUACGAUUGCCGGCUUAAAAUUUCAUUCAAAAUAAAUUCGGAAACCAACUAUAAUAUUUAAUUAAGAAAUGUCGUUGAAAUUUAACUCAAAAUCGGAAGUACUUAAUAGAUUUGUCAUCGUUACUCAGUUGGCUAUUCACAAAGCAAUAAAGAUCAAGGGAAAUUGUUCUAGAGCAGCUCUUUAUCGUCAUAUUGACAGAUGUCAAUUAAAAAGCAACUUACAUAUGCUCCUUUUUUACAGGAGCGAUAAUCAUAGGGGAGACCAGUUGUUGCUAUAAUUACCUAUAGAAGUCAGUAAGAUUUUGAACCAAUUCUGACAUGGAGAUCUUAAUAUUUUUCCCGAUUCUUGGAACUUCACGUUAAUUUCUGAAACGAUUAAAUAAACUUCUACCGCCUUGUGUUCAAUUAUGUAUAUAUAUGCAUAUACACAACCGUAUACAUUGUAUACUUAACGUGCAAUCUUAGUAAAACGACCCAGCAACGCCGUUAAUUACAGUCUAGAGUCCAAACUUAUCGAAUUUUUAAUUCAUUAAUAUUAUUUUUUUUUAUAACAAUAAAUAAAUUCUAUA